GUAGCCAGAGAUUCUGGGAAGCCCUGGAAGCUGGGAGGGGCAAGGAGAAUCCCCGACAAGUCUCUGAGGGCAAGUCUCUGAGGGCAUAGGACCCUGCAGACUUGGGACUUCCUGGGCAGCGCUGUGGGAGAGCGCAUUUCUGUUGUUGAGCCGAGGUUUGUGGUGUUAAGAAGGCGCGUUGGUGGUGGAGAGCUGUUCCAAGGGACCAGGACCUUCCCUGUGUCCAAACACAAGACCUGAGCCAAGGCCUUCACCCCAGACCCUGGUCAAGUCCAGCAAUGUUAUUCCAGGAGCAAAGGGGGCAACCCCGACCUCCAGGGGCGAACUGUCAAGAACCUGCAAACCCCAGCCAAGACCCGCAGGCCCCCUGCCGCCUCAAGCAGUCCCUUGCCGAAUGUUGAUGCUCCCCCAAGCUGUCGGGAGAGACAGAGGGAUCAAGCUCUGCCCUGUGUGAGCACCUUCUCCAUGGGCCCCGGAGUGAGCCAAGGCUGAGCCGUCCAGCACUGCCCGUGUGCUCACUCUGUGCUCUGGGCCCCGGAGCUGCGGCUGUGUUCCUCUCUCUUCUCAGUGUGCCUGGAUCAUCCUCAGAGCUGCUGCGCGCCCUGACAGGGCCUGGACCACUGUCCCCAGCGGGCACUUAACCUGGUCAGGCCGCCUUUCCACAUCUACUGGAAAUAAACCAGGGGCUGCAGGUCACUUUCUGGUUCCCUGGCCCCUGCGUGGCUGGGCUCUGCGGACCUACUCUUUGUGGCCAGCAGGGCCUCGGGAACCUCCUGGAGUGGGCGUCCAGCUGCCCAUAGGCACUGCUUGGCUGGGUUCCUGGACCCUGCUCUGGGCCUCACCCCGUGGCCACAGAGAUUCCGACCCAGAGUGACAGCCUCAUCUGGCUGGGGCACAGGGUGGAGGCCCAGCCUGGGGAAGUCCUAGGCUUCUCAGGAGGACGAGGCCUGGGGGCGGGGGGGGGGGGGGGGGGGAAGCUCUGUUCCCUGCCCCCCUCCACUCCCUCCCUAAACUCAGAGUCCUUUCCUGGAGUCACUGCUGAGAAUUCUCCUGCUCCCCUUCUCCCCAGGGUCUCCUUCCCCCCAGCAGACCUUGGCAUCCUAAUGCCCCGGGCAGGAGCCUCAGGUUUCCAGCGAGGUCUCGGGGUUUUCCGCCCAGCAGCUCUGCGACAUCUUCAAGGACCAGGCCUGGACUUGGCCUUUUUGUCUUCAGAGAGACACGGGCAGGUCACGGUUUGCUAAGUGCCUUGUGGUGCCAAGGGCAGGUGGCAUGUGUCUGAGUCCAGCCCUCCUCUGCUGAGAGAAGGUGUCAGUGGGAACGAUUCUCCAGAGUAUGUAAUGGUCCCCCCAGUGGGUAUUUUGGGGACUAAUUGGCCUGCUAUUUGCAAGCUUCUUUGCCACGAGCAGGGAGGGAGAACGUGGGGGUGUUUUAAGGGCAUGAAGUAUUGACUCAGUUAAUUAACUCAGCAUGAACUGUGAUCACAGCUCCCAGACCUGGCUGUGGUACUUGGUACUUGGUACUCGGUACUCGGUACUCGUGCAGCACCAAGAACUCAGGUGAGGACAGCAGGAUAUUUUAAAUUUUGGCAUGAACCUUGAAGUCUGUCUAAAACCAUGUGAACCGCGGGCUUGAGGGAGCUCACACUUUCAACAUUAGAUUGCACUACAUUCCUUUUGAUGAUAUCAUAUCUUUGCAAAGUUGGAUUUCUGGAGAUUGCUGUGAUAAAACCCAGUCAGUGAGCCACCAGUGUGGGGUGGGAAGCCAGCACAGAGGCUGCAGAGUGAUUCCCACAAUUGAGAAAAUUGUGCAGUGCCAAACAUGUAAACCAUCCCAUAAGUA